GAUGAAGAACGUAGCGAAAUGCGAUACUUGGUGUGAAUUGCAGAAUCCCGUGAACCAUCGAGUCUUUGAACGCUAGUUGCGCCCGAAGCCAUUAGGCCGAGGGCACGCCUGCCUGGGUGUCACACACCGUUACCCUCGCGCCAACGUCCAUCGUUGGCCGCGGCGCGGGGCGUGCGCUGACCUCCCGCGAGCGGGGUCUCGUGGUUGGUUGAAAAUCGAGUUCGCGGUCGAGGGUGCCGUGAUGAAAUGGUGGAUGGGCGACGCCCGAGGCCAAUCACGCGCGACUCCGUCCGGCUCGGACUCCUGGACCCCUUCGGCGUCUCCGGACGCUCUUUGGCGAGACCUCAGGUCAGGCGGGGCUACCCGCUGAGUUUAAGCAUAUCAAUAAGCGGAGGA
rnacentral:misc_RNA from 1 species